rnacentral:rRNA from 1 species
CCUACGGGUGGCUGCAGUGGGGAAUAUUGGACAAUGGGCGAAAGCCUGAUCCAGCCAUGCCGCGUGUGUGAAGAAGGCCUUCGGGUUGUAAAGCACUUUCAGUGGGGAAGAAAGCCUUGGGGCUAAUACCCUCGAGGAAGGACAUCACCCACAGAAGAAGCACCGGCUAACUCCGUGCCAGCAGCCGCGGUAAUACGGAGGGUGCGAGCGUUAAACGGAAUUACUGGGCGUAAAGCGCGCGUAGGCGGUCUGAUAAGCCGGUUGUGAAAGCCCCGGGCUCAACCUGGGAACGGCAUCCGGAACUGUCAGGCUAGAGUGCAGGAGAGGAAGGUAGAAUUCCCGGUGUAGCGGUGAAAUGCGUAGAGAUCGGGAGGAAUACCAGUGGCGAAGGCGGCCUUCUGGACUGACACUGACGCUGAGGUGCGAAAGCGUGGGUAGCAAACAGGAUUAGAUACCCCAGUAGUC